UGUGCUAUGCUAUUACGUGACAGUACAGUUUAAUGACGGUGGCUAUCCUUCGAAAACGAGGUGGUGCGUAUGCACAUACUUUCUAAAUCUUACGAAAGGAGACGCCUUUUGUCGGCACUCGAUACAGUCCAAUUGAUGCUCAGCUUUGGCAUGUUUACCAUCGCUCUGGUCACAUUGGUUGUAG
rfam:Enterococcus mundtii QT 25 DNA, complete genome.